UUACUUGGCGUUACCUUCCUGCAUUUAAAUUCCGCAAGUGAUAUAUGAGCAGAUAAACCGGGUCACUACCUCAUAAAUCAUCUAUCCUGCCAUAGUACUCAUCUCCGAAGCAAAUCGCUUUCAGUGGCACUUUAAAUAACAAACUUUUCCUAUCACUGCAGCUCACCGAAUUCAAAACUGGAAUCCAGCCGGUGUGCAUUCCAGACCGAAUCGAAUUCGAUUCGAGGAGUUGAGCUAUCUACCGAUCGAACAAAGUGCCUCAAGUGAAACUUAUGAUUGGAAGCUUUUCUGGAAGACUUAUGCGUCCGCUCCAAUUCAAUUCCAUGGAAACGGAAGCUAGUCAGCAGCUACCAAGGUAUCUAUAAGGAGUUUGUCUUGUUUAGUGCGCGUACCAGGUUAUCGACAUGGAUGGAGACACCAUCUGCUAUGAUGACAGAGGCCUCGAUUGGCUUGUCAGAUGGAUCGGGCCCAGGACAUCUUGGCUACAUCAUGAGACGACCUUGAAAAACAACCCUAAAAUCGUGCCUCAGGCUUUCUAGUACCAUAUCGUUAUCUCAUUAGAUUCCGACCCCUUAUAGUUUUGGAUGAAAAAAAAAACACAAACACUUCAUUUUUUUAUUAAACUCCUUUUCACUUCCA